rnacentral:lncRNA from 1 species
CAAGGCUAUCACUUUAUCAAAAGGUCAAGGGAAUGAAAACGUGUAAUCUUACUAAACGGAAUAAAUAUCAGUGAUACAAUAUAGCUCUGAAAUAAUUUGAAAAUUGCUUUUUGUGACGUGAAUAAAACAGAAAGAUAUAUCGUUGAGAAAUAAUCCACAGCAACCGUAGCCGUACAACAUUAUAAGUUACAUCAAAUGUAGUCCCAGGGAUUUGAAAUCUUUCUACUAUUUUUGUUUUUGGCUGAAAGCACAAGAAGCAGCGGACCCUUACUAGAGGAACAAAACAGCAAAAGCUAUUAUUGCAGAGAACAGAUUGAUCAUCAUCGAAUGUCUCUAAACUGCAGUCAUCAAAAUCUGACAUACAUCUCUAGGACUAAAAACUAUAUCAAGAACCUGAUUUUCAGUUAUAAUGACUUAACAAAUGUCACGUCGGUAACAUUCGGAAAUAUUAGCAAUCCAGCAAAUCUAGUUGAUCUUGAACUGGACCAUAAUCAUAUCCAGAAUAUUUCCUCGGAUGCGUUUGCUACGUUUCCAAAUUUGAAAUACUUAUAUUUGUCAUAUAAUCCAAUAUACUACAGCAAUAUGAAAGAUCUUUUGGGUGCAUUGUCUAACUUUCAUAACCUUUAUCAUUUAGAAUUGAGUGGAAUUACUACAGUAAAAAUCCAAAAAGACCUGUUUUCGUUGAUGGGGGAAAAUCAUAUAGAAACACUUUCAUUAAAAGAUUCCAGUAUCAAAAAACUUGCAAUGGACAGUUUCAAACCUUUUAAUAGUUUAAAAUCUGUUUACCUAAGAGACAAUCUUAUUGAAGAGCUAUCACUGUUUAAACAUACAAAUCUAUAUUCCCUUUAUCUUGAUCACAACCGUUUAAAAUCAUUUCCUGAUUUUUGUACCGAACGAAAUCGUUCAGACUGUUAUUUUCGAAAGCUUGAAAUUCUAAACAUCCAAAAUAAUAGGAUAAGUGAACUUCGUCCAGACAAUUUGCAGUGUUUGCCAAAUUUAAAAUGUUUAAAGGUCGGAGAAAAUCCCAUAACGGUUUUAUGUGAAACUACCGAAAAUUCAUUAUCUGAGAUUACGAAAUUUGAAUGGAGAUGCUUUAAAAGUACGACCAUUCGCUUUUAAUUCAACCUCUCUAACAAUGCUUCAUUUAGGAUUCGGAGGUCCAGCAAAAAGCAUUUUUACGUCCUUCAAAGAUACGUUUAGGCUUUUACCACAUUUGAGGUAUUUAGUUUUAGGUCAUACUGGCAUGCUUCAGUUAACUAGCGAACAAUCCUCGGAACUAUUUUCACCUCUGAUAAAUCUUAAAUCAUUUCACUGUUUUAGUUGUCAGAUUGCGCAGACUUCUACCAGUUCUUGAAGGUCAAAUUGGCUUGACAUUAUGUAUUCAUGAACGGGACUUUCAACCAGGCGCUUUUAUCAACGACAACAUUGUAACCAAUACAGACAAGAGUGAGAAAAAUUUUCUUGUCCUUACUAAUGGAUUUUCUCGUAGUGAAUGGUGCAUGUUUGAACUGAAAGUUGCACAUUCGAAACUGAUUAAGGAUGAAACGGAGCUUCUGGUUAUUCUUUUAGAAAAAAUAGAUGGACGAAAUAUGAAUCAUUCUUUGAAGCUUCUGUUUGAUACAACAACAUACAUAGAAUGGACAGAGGUUAUUGUAGGUCAAGAACUGUUCCGGGAAAAACUGAAAAAUGCUCUGAAGAAGUGAACAGAUGCUAGAAGAAGCUCUAAGUGUUCUUAAAUAAAAAUUACUGAUUACAUUAUUUAUUCUAAACGAAAUUGUUAUAGUGCGAAUGAAUCAUUCCUAGACAUAGAGGUAAAUUGAUAAUUGAGAUGGACAAGUUUUGUUCAUGUGACUUCUUAAGCCGAAAGUUUGUAAAUGUUCUAAAAUCCUAUGUAUUAUAUGUCAUUGUUUGAUUCGUAAAUGUAUAUUAUACCAUUGAAUACAUGUUUUUCUUGUGACGUAUAUUCUGAUCUAUAUUAUAAAUACUGACUGCAAGCUUGCAUUUUAUGGACUGUAUUUUUAUUGUAGCUAUAAACAAUCAUUUAACAUUA